GGAGGCUUAAAUGGAGAGUUUCGCCACCACUGAACUUCCGUAUCUUAUGUCACCGACAAGAAACUUCACACAGAGUCUUGUCAGGAAAUGUAAGGUUUUGAGAAGGUCUAACGGCUUGUUUCAUGGUGGCAUACCUGUCUCACAGUGUUUUCCACGAUAUCCAGCAGGGCACAGGCAAAGGUAGUGCUCUGAGUGAAGCUGGCUUGCACACCUUCCUCCAUGAAAACACUUAUUUGUGGAACAAUCUGUAUGGAUAGUAAUCGGGGAACAAAUUAUAGGUAAGGCAUAAAAUCUUUUAUUGAAGUCCCAAAUGUGAUUGUCACCAGAAUUAGUGUUUUGAAAC